UACGGAGGGAGCUAGCGUUAUUCGGAAUUACUGGGCGUAAAGCGCACGUAGGCGGCUUUGUAAGUUAGAGGUGAAAGCCCAGAGCUCAACUCUGGAAUAGCCUUUAAGACUGCAUCGCUUGAAUCCAGGAGAGGUGAGUGGAAUUCCGAGUGUAGAGGUGAAAUUCGUAGAUAUUCGGAAGAACACCAGUGGCGAAGGCGGCUCACUGGACUGGUAUUGACGCUGAGGUGCGAAAGCGUGGGGAGCAAACAGG
rnacentral:rRNA from 1 species